rnacentral:rRNA from 1 species
UACGAAGGGGGCUAGCGUUGCUCGGAAUCACUGGGCGUAAAGCGCACGUAGGCGGACUCUUAAGUCGGUGGUGAAAUCCUGGAGCUCAACUCCAGAACUGCCUUCGAUACUGGGAGUCUCGAGUCCGGGAGAGGUGAGUGGAACUGCGAGUGUAGAGGUGAAAUUCGUAGAUAUUCGCAAGAACACCAGUGGCGAAGGCGGGUUGCUGGGCCGACACUGACGCUGAGGCGCGAAAGCUAGGGGAGCGAACGGG